GGCUCGGUAGCGGAGGGUCCGCAUCUGCUUCAAUUCGGGAUAUCGACUGACAUACACAGCAGACAGCGCCUGUUCGACUCAGGCCCGAGCCA